rnacentral:lncRNA from 1 species
UUUUAACGCGAGCGUAUCGCCAAACGCAAGGGAUUGCGAAUGGCAUACGCGACUGCGAAUCCUGCGAAUGCAUGUGCUACCAUUUGAAUUUUACGCGAGUGACUGCGACUUGCGUGCGGGACUGCGAACUGUACGGCCAACCGUGCAAUACAAAAGCUUUACAAUAGCAGUACACGAGCUGUACAAAGUGCAAAGUGCACCGCCGUUGCACAUGACCUGCAGGUUCACAGCUGUGAACCACAGCACUCACUGCUUUCUUCAUACAUUUGAACUAUCCCUGAAUGACAGGUACGAAUUCAUAGCAAAUCCUAACAUGACCGAGGCAACUCAGCCAGCAACUCUUACCAUGGAAAAGGGUCCAACAGUCUAACGUCAGAAAAAAUCGACACACAAAUGUUAAGCGCAUGUAAAUGUACCACAAUACAUCCACUAUUGUCUUCUUAUUAAAGCGCUCAAUCCUCGCCUCCGCUGAUGUCAUCUUCACGAACGACGGCAUAUAUCUGCAUAUGAAAGGAUCACAACAAAUCAUUGUUUAGGCAGGAACACAUAGUUGUGAGCAUGUUACGUACAAUGACGGCUGUAGGUGUGACACCGGCAUAACGUGCCUCGAAAUAAGGCAAUAAAAAGCAUUUAGUUAAUAGCCAUGGUCUUGCAACCAGAGGCUUCAUACCUCCGAACGGCCGCUUCGUGGCCUGCCACGUGCCGUUUGAGCCCGACUCUUGUUCAUAUCCUUACCACCAUCCUUGCGCUUGUCCUAUUCCUUGCGAUUCUCCUGCUCGUGUCCUUGGAAUGUAAAAUGACAAGGCAUAAUGUCAGUGUAUGCACCUGCAUGAUGGCCACUUACUGCCGGUGGCGUCUAGUCCCCCUUUUCCUGCUUUCCCCUGCUUGCCUGCGAAUGAAUGCUGCGCCAUUAUAGAGGAAGAAAGACAGAUUCUUGUUAUGAAGAUGCUAAUUUAUUAGGCUUUACCUUACACUGUCGUCAUUGGAGGAUCAGCGUGAGUAUAAGCAAUGCAUACGCGCUAAACAACAAAUUCAAGAUAAUCUUAUUAGUGCAAUGCGCGCAAUGAAUUACUGCCCUGAGGACACGGGCAGCACUGGGCCUUACGCCCAACUUACUCCCAACUCCCAACUAACCCUCUUACUUAACGCAAGCUCGCAUAAGUUGUUGCGUCAGAGACAAAUGCCAAAGGAGAAGAUACCCCCUCUAACGGUUGAAAUACUGAACCACCACGGCGCUUCGUGCCGAGCCGCAAGAGGGCCAAAGACGUGAGAGCUGC